rnacentral:rRNA from 1 species
GGGGGCAACCCCUUGAGAGUGGCGAACGGGUGAGUAAUGUAUCGGAACGUGCCCAGUCGUGGGGGAUAACGUAGUGAAAAUUACGCUAAUACCGCAUACGAUCUAUGGAUGAAAGCGGGGGAUCGCAAGACCUCGCGCGAUUGGAGCGGCCGAUAUCAGAUUAGGUAGUUGGUGGGGUAAAGGCUCACCAAGCCAACGAUCUGUAGCUGGUCUGAGAGGACGACCAGCCACACUGGAACUGAGACACGGUCCAGACUCCUACGGGAGGCAGCAGUGGGGAAUUUUGGACAAUGGACGCAAGUCUGAUCCAGCCAUUCCGCGUGCAGGACGAAGGCCUUCGGGUUGUAAACUGCUUUUGUACGGAACGAAAAAGCUCUUAUUAAUACUAGGAGUCCAUGACGGUACCGUAAGAAUAAGCACCGGCUAACUACGUGCCAGCAGCCGCGGUAAUACGUAGGGUGCAAGCGUUAAUCGGAAUUACUGGGCGUAAAGCGUGCGCAGGCGGUUAUAUAAGACAGAUGUGAAAUCCCCGAGCUUAACUUGGGAACUGCAUUUGUGACUGUAUAGCUAGAGUACGGCAGAGGGGGAUGGAAUUCCGCGUGUAGCAGUGAAAUGCGUAGAUAUGCGGAGGAACACCGAUGGCGAAGGCAAUCCCCUGGGCCUGUACUGACGCACAUGCACGAAAGCGUGGGGAGCAAACAGGAUUAGAUACCCUGGUAGUCCACGCCCUAAACGAUGUCAACUGGUUGUUGGGUCUUCACUGACUCAGUAACGAAGCUAACGCGUGAAGUUGACCGCCUGGGGAGUACGGCCGNCAGGUUGAAACUCAAAGGAAUGACGGGGACCCGCACAAGCGGUGGAUGAUGUGGUUUAAUCGAUGCACCGCGAAAAAACUUACCCACCUUUGACAU